rnacentral:lncRNA from 1 species
GCAGAAGCUGGUCCCAAGAAGAUAUUGGACCUCAUGAAUAUCCCAUGGCUCACUAGGGAGAAUGUUGCUAGCCACCUUCAGGUAAAACUUUACCCUUCUCUUUAAUCCAAAAGAGGAAGAACACUAAGCUUUUUGUCACUUUUUCUAUUUUUAUUUUUAUUUUUAUUUUGUAGAAAUACAGACUGUACCUGAGUAGAUUAGAGAAAGGGAAGGAGAUAAAGUGUUAUUCUGGUGGAGUAAAGAAUAUGGAUUCACCUCCAAAAGAUGCUGAGAUUAAUUCAGGACAUCAAAGCCCUGGCA